AGUGAACGUUGGCGGCGUGGAUUAGGCAUGCAAGUCGAGCGAGAACCGUAGCAAUACGGGGACAGCGGCGAAAGGGACAGUAAUGUGUAGGUACCUACCCCCGGGUUCGGGAUAGCUGCGGGAAACUGCAGGUAAUACCGAAUAAUGUCUCCGGACCAAAGGUGUGAUUCCACCUGGGGAGGGGCCUGCAUCCUAUUAGCUUGUUGGUGGGGUAACGGCCUACCAAGGCGACGAUGGGUAGCGGGUGUGAGAGCACGACCCGCGUCAUUGGGACUGAGACACUGCCCAGACACCUACGGGUGGCUGCAGUCGAGAAUCUUCGGCAAUGGGCGCAAGCCUGACCGAGCGACGCCGCGUGCGGGAUGAAGGCCUUCGGGUUGUAAACCGCUGUCGUAGAGGAGGAAAUGCAGGGGGGUUCUCCCCUUUGCUUGACCUAUUCUAGGAGGAAGUACGGGCUAAGUUCGUGCCAGCCGCCGCAGUAA
rnacentral:rRNA from 1 species